UACGGGGGGGGCAAGCGUUGUUCGGAAUUACUGGGCGUAAAGGGCGCGUAGGUGGCCUGUUAAGUCACACGUGAAAUCCCUCGGCUCAACCGGGGAACUGCGUGUGAUACUGGCGGGCUUGAAUUCGGGAGAGGGAUGUGGAAUUCCAGGUGUAGCGGUGAAAUGCGUAGAUAUCUGGAGGAACACCGGUGGCGAAGGCGGCGUUCUGGACUGCAACUGACACUGAGAAACGAAAGCCAGGGGAGCAAACGGG
rnacentral:rRNA from 1 species